AUUUUCAGCAGAGGAGGAGAUUCCAAAUGCCUUGAAAUCUAUCUUGGGACCCCCUCAGAAGCUUUGCUAGCUGAAAAUGAGAAUGUCAAGAUUAUUUUUGAAAAUGCGGAAAGUUUUCUAGAAUUUAAUAAGAAAAUAGAAAUUUGCUACUACAUCAUCAUUUUCAAGAAAAUUGGUUCCAUGGACGUAAGAUUCGGGACAGCAAGGCCUAGGCUUGUUAUUAUUUAUGAUCAAGAGUUCCAUCAAACAGAUUUAG